UCAGUCGACGGCAAAAAUCUUCACACAUGAUCUCUACGCCCAUCAUUUUUAUCUCUGAAGGGCCAAAGGGAUUUGACAGCAGAUUCACUACAUGUUAAGGAGUAAGGAAAUCAAGGCUAUGGUCGAUUAUUUGGUAUUUAAAAAACGUGUCAACUUUUGGUGAGCGGAUGAGGUAAGUACGUAACUUCUUCGUGGGUUCUAAAUACUCUUGCUAAUUUAAGAUUUUGCACGUUGGACUCAAAAUUUCUGUUUACGUGCAUCUUUUAUGCUAUUUUGGAUAUGCCUAUGGGGAACUGUACAAAUUUUGUGAAUCGUACAUGCUGGUCAUACCUCAAAUAUUCCUAUAUGAUUUCAUGGAAAUUUAUUUUGUGAGUGAAGUGAUUAUCUGUG